rnacentral:rRNA from 1 species
GCAUAUCAAUAAGCGGAGGAAAAGAAACCAACAGGGAUUGCCCUAGUAACGGCGAGUGAAGCGGCAACAGCUCAAAUUUGAAAUCUGGCGCAAGCCCGAGUUGUAAUUUGUAGAGGAUGCUUCUGGGUAGCGACCGAUCUAAGUUCCUUGGAACAGGACGUCAUAGAGGGUGAGAAUCCCGUAUGUGACCGGCCCGCACCCUUUACGUAGCUCCUUCGACGAGUCGAGUUGUUUGGGAAUGCAGCUCUAAAUGGGAGGUAAAUUUCUUCUAAAGCUAAAUACCGGCCAGAGACCGAUAGCGCACAAGUAGAGUGAUCGAAAGAUGAAAAGUACUUUGGAAAGAGAGUUAAAAAGCACGUGAAAUUGUUGAAAGGGAAGCGCCUGCAACCAGACUUCGCGGCAGUGUUCCGCCGGUCUUCUGACCGGUUCAUUCUCUGUCGCGAGGCCAUCAUCGUCUGGGCCCGCCGGAUAAGACCUUAGGAAUGUAGCUCACCUUCGGGGGAGUGUUAUAGCCUAGGGUGAUGCGGCGAGGCUCGGGCGAGGUCCGCGCUUCGGCAAGGAUGAUGGCGUAAUGGUUGUCGGCGGCCCGUCUUGAAACACGGACCAAGGAGUCUAACAUCUAUGCGAGUGUUCGGGUGUCAAACCCCUACGCGUAAUGAAAGUGAACGGAGGUGGGAACCGCAAGGUGCACCAUCGACCGAUCCUGAUGUCCUCGGAUGGAUUUGAGUAAGAGCAUAGCUGUUGGGACCCGAAAGAUGGUGAACUAUGCCUGAAUAGGGUGAAGCCAGAGGAAACUCUGGUGGAGGCUCGCAGCGGUUCUGACGUGCAAAUCGAUCGUCAAAUUUGGGUAUAGGGGGCGAAAGACUAAUCGAACCAUCUAGUAGCUGGUUCUGCGA